rnacentral:rRNA from 1 species
UACGUAGGGUGCAAGCGUUGUCCGGAAUUAUUGGGCGUAAAGAGCUCGUAGGCGGUCUGUCGCGUCUGCUGUGAAAACUCAGGGCUUAACCCUGAGCUUGCAGUAGGUACGGGCAGACUAGAGUGCGGUAGGGGAGACUGGAAUUCCUGGUGUAGCGGUGAAAUGCGCAGAUAUCAGGAGGAACACCGGUGGCGAAGGCGGGUCUCUGGGCCGAUACUGACGCUGAGGAGCGAAAGCGUGGGGAGCGAACAGG